AGUGAACGCUGGCGGUAGGCCUAACACAUGCAAGUCGAACGGCAGCACAGUAAGAGCUUGCUCUUACGGGUGGCGAGUGGCGGACGGGUGAGGAAUACAUCGGAAUCUACUUUUUCGUGGGGGAUAACGUAGGGAAACUUACGCUAAUACCGCAUACGACCUACGGGUGAAAGCAGGGGAUCUUCGGACCUUGCGCGAUUGAAUGAGCCGAUGUCGGAUUAGCUAGUUGGCGGGGUAAAGGCCCACCAAGGCGACGAUCCGUAGCUGGUCUGAGAGGAUGAUCAGCCACACUGGAACUGAGACACGGUCCAGACUCCUACGGGAGGCAGCAGUGGGGAAUAUUGGACAAAGGGCGCAAGCCUGAUCCAGCCAUACCGCGUGGGUGAAGAAGGCCUUCGGGUUGUAAAGCCCUUUUGUUGGGAAAGAAAAGCAGCAGGUUAAUACCCCGCUGUUCUGACGGUACCCAAGGAAUAAGCACCGGCUAACUUCGUG
rnacentral:rRNA from 1 species